rnacentral:lncRNA from 1 species
AUGCUCUACUGUCUUCCUGGGACCGGGCAGGAGCUGCAGCCGGAGGAACGGGAGGCCCUUGGCCGCGUGACUCCCUUCUCAUCGCUGCAGUGGAGGACGGGAGAAGGAGGCGGCCCCGGGAAACCUCCCAGACGUAAAGCGGGGAGCGCCUGGUGGGCAUUUACUGAUCAGAGUGUAAGAAAUUCUGUGAAGGGCUGUUGCCCCAACUGAUGCCCCAAGUGAUAAAUAGAUGCGUGACGUAUAUAAAUCGCAGCGCCCCGCACGGCCCAGUCCCAGCGAGCGUCCACCCUUAAACACAUACUCCAGCAACGGAAGGUAAUUGAAAGCGUGAGUCCAGGGAUUGCAGGGGUGGAAAUAGUGCGGGAGUUUGUACGGGACCCCCCACCAAGAACAGGGAUAAACUUUGGGUAACAUGUAAAACACUGUGUGAAGACUCUGGAGAGCAGGAACUGCAGGGGACUUGGCCUUGAAAGAGGGGAACCACUCUGGAGGAGAGCCGCGGGGACGCGUGGCUGUGACAUUCCUCGGAGGACACCGCCCAGGCGGCUCAGGGCCAGGUGGCCAGAACGCACAGGUCUGAGAAGUCAGGGUGGGGCUGGCGGCUGCAGUGGCUGGAAAAUGAGGGUGGCAUCUUCGUGUACUGAGAAUUUAUGUCACGUGUGCCACGUGUCACUGAAUGAAUGGGGGGGCCUGCUCGCUGCUGACAAAAUCAACGCUCCCAUUCUGAUGAAAGGAUGUGCUUUUAAUCAGAAUACUGGCCAUUGGGGGAGAUGCUGCACGCAGCGUCCCCAGGCCCCCUCUGCAGACUCUGCUGGGCCGUGAAGGUUUGCAGCGGAGGAUGAGUCUCAGUCAGUCAGAGAUGGGGGGACCCGAGUCCCUGCCACCCUUACACGCACACCCCCCCACACUCACACCCGUGCGCACCCCCCCACACACACUCACACCCGGCAGGCUCAUCACGCCUCGAGAUCCUGGAUCCUGUCCACGCCAUUUGGUCACAGAGCUGGUCUGAGAGGUGGCUGAAGGGGAGGCUGGGGA